GAUUGAUAUGUACUGCGCACGCAGCGCACUUCUUCUUGAAGCUAGCGCCGAAGCUUCGGUCUGAACAUGUCCAGCGGUUCUGCGGAUUAUAACAGCUCUAGAGACAGAGACCAUGGGGGCCCUGAAGGAAUGGAUCCUGAUGGUGUCAUCGAGAGCAACUGGAACGAGAUUACGGACAACUUCGACGAUAUGAACUUAAAGGAGACGCUCCUUCGCGGUAUCUACGCUUACGGUUUUGAGAAACCGUCAGCCAUUCAGCAGAGGGCAAUUAUUCCGUGCAUUAAAGGUUAUGACGUUAUCGCUCAGGCUCAGUCGGGAACUGGCAAGACCGCCACGUUCGCCAUCUCCAUCCUGCAGCAGUUAGAUGUGGAGCAGAAGGAGACCCAGGCUAUGGUGCUGGCUCCUACCAGAGAGCUGGCCCAACAGAUCCAGAAAGUAAUCCUGGCACUCGGUGACUAUAUGGGUGCCACAUGCCAUGCCUGCAUCGGGGGCACGAAUGUGCGAAACGAGAUGCAGAAACUCCAAGCCGAGGCUUACCACAUAGUGGUCGGGACACCGGGCCGCGUGUUUGACAUGUUAAACAGGAGGUUUCUGUCUCCUAAAUGGAUCAAGAUGUUUGUCUUGGAUGAAGCUGACGAGAUGCUGAGUCGAGGAUUUAAGGAUCAGAUCUAUGAAAUUUUUCAGAAGCUGAGCACCAACAUCCAAGUCGUGCUUCUCUCGGCCACGAUGCCCGCUGAGGUUUUGGAAGUGACCAAAAAGUUUAUGCGGGAGCCUGUUCGCAUCCUGGUGAAAAAAGAGGAGCUUACUCUGGAGGGUAUCAAGCAGUUCUACAUCAACGUGGAGCGAGAGGAGUGGAAGUUAGACACGCUGUGCGACCUUUACGAGACUCUGACAAUCACCCAGGCUGUGAUCUUCCUGAACACCAGGAGGAAGGUGGACUGGCUGACUGAGAAGAUGCACGGUCGGGACUUCACCGUCUCCGCUUUGCACGGAGACAUGGACCAGAAGGAGCGCGAUGUGAUUAUGAGGGAGUUCCGGUCCGGAUCCAGCAGGGUGCUGAUCACGACGGAUUUGCUGGCUCGUGGCAUCGACGUGCAGCAAGUGUCUCUAGUCAUUAACUACGAUUUGCCCACCAACCGAGAAAACUACAUCCACAGAAUCGGACGCGGCGGCCGUUUCGGCAGGAAGGGCGUCGCUAUUAACUUCGUCACCGAGGAAGACAAGAGGAUUCUUCGGGACAUUGAGACUUUUUACAACACUACAGUCGAGGAGAUGCCCAUGAACGUGGCUGAUCUGAUUUAAAUAGCUGAGCUGGUUGCUUGUAACGGAGGCACGUUGUCAUUAUUAUUUUUAAAUCAGAAACCAUAUUCGGAAUUGUGCGGUCUCAAUGCUGAAAGUGGCGUGCUCAAGUGGAGUCUACUCCUUUACGAGUCGACCGCAUGGGUAUGAUCCCGACAUCCCCGGUGCUUUAAAACGACUCCUUCAUUCAUAGUUUAGGACAAGUCAGGAAGAGUAUGAGGUGUCUGGCAGGCAUGAGGAGAGGGCUAACUGUUAUAAAUUAAUAGGAGAGGUGAUUCAGAGAGAUGAUUCAGAGAUUCAUCCACAUCCACGCUCGCUUCCUGACGUGAACACAGCCGUGAGCCGACACAGGGACCCACGGAUACGAGCAAAGCAAAGCAGAGCAGGUACGCAAACCUGCGGGUUACUGGUAGAGCGUUAGGGAAGGUGCUCUCCUAAGUGUGAUCCUAAUAAAAUAGUGUGAAAGCUCAUAGCAGGGUUUGUAGUCAUUCCCACUUCAUAAAAUCGAGCAUACACUAACCAGGCUGAGUGAAGAGGUUUAAAAAAAAAAACGUGUGGCGGUGUAUGCAGGCAUUUUUAUCGUUAAUAUCCAAUACCGGUGUAAUUAAGUGCAAUAGAUAGAACACUAUCUCACUGGCCAAACAAAAUGACAUUUUAACCCCUAAAGCAAGGAUUAGCCGUGUUAGCUGAAAAAGUCCCCGUGAAAUUGAAGAUUUUGUGAAAAAUGUAAGUUUUGUGGCUUUUAGUACGAAUAUGUUCGCCUUCGGUCUUAUCUAGAAGCCAGUGUGCGCCAAAACGACGACAAAAUCCAUUCGCGUUUAGAAGAUAGAUCUAUGCAUUCAAAAUUUCAACAACUUUGAUGACAUCAUUCUGCACUUCAGCUUCUCAUCAGAUUUUCGGUCCAAUCAAACGCUCUCUAGAAUCUGAAGUGUCCCGUCCCCGACAUUAUAAAAAUCCAUGGUACUAACGGCGAAGUACGGCUUAACCCCGGGGCUGCGAGGUAAGUUAAAUGCUAUUGGCUAUUUUUGUUUAAAAAGGGGGAGGAGCCACUCUAUGUCCCAAUCUGACUUCCUUUCAGUGGGAAUUAUGUCAACAUGUCGAAUAACACUGCGCGUUUCAAGGCACUUAACAGGGACUUUCAAGACAUCCUAAAAUCAAACCUGUCCUUCCUCAUUAAUACAGAUCAAAUAAAUCUCAUGCCAUCACAAAAUUUAUUCGUCUGUAACCUUUCAGUAAAAUGCAGCGACUGUUUCACAGAUAUGACCGUCACUGUGCAUCAUUAGUGGGAGCGGACCAAAUAAAUUGGCCUUAGCCUCGACUAGACUCAGUAACUGACUCAGUUCAAAUAC